rnacentral:lncRNA from 1 species
AAAGGUUCGAAGGGGGCGGUGAGAGAGGAAGUAUUGGAGAGGCAUAUUCUGUGGUGUUUUCUCUUGAAUUAGAGUUGUCCUCAGUCCAUAGCCAAUUGGUUUUCCUGCUAAAUGCAAUCAACUGCAGCGCCACACUCUGCGGAACGAUCCUUGAACUGGAACAGCGAUAGAGCUUGGGACAUGCUCCAUCUUCCGUCGAGAAUCAUGAUGAGAAGUAUCAGCAAAACGUCGUCCUGGAAAAAAAAAGCAUGGCUCUGCUGAUCUGG